GCCGGGCAAGAUGGGUUUGACAUUGUUGAAAUCAAAAUGGAGCCAUAGAGAGAAAAUCAACAGCUGAAAUCGAGGUAGAGGAGCAUGAACUGAAAUGGGCCUUCGUUGAAAACCAAAGAGAGGUGAGCUGAUGGAGGUACCAACGUGUUCUGUAGGCAUUGACAGAGAAAUUGAUGAACUGGAAAUACAUUAUGGAGCGAGUUGGGUGGGUCUAAUCUUGUCAUAUUGAGUUAAGAUUCUGCUGGCGUUGGAUUAAAAAAAAAAAAAAGGAUUUGCUCACCGUAGAGGGUUGGAGCGUGGGUGCAGAUAAGAACUUCAAUGACGCUAAAAAUGGGUUUAUAAAUUGAAGGAGAUGGAGCCGAGAUUUAAUGGAACUAGAUGUGAGGCGCAAAAGAGGGAGUUAUAUGUGUGUGGUGGCAGUGGCGGAUAGUGGUGAUUUUAGUUCUUAAGAGAGCUGUUAGAUGUAGGUUUGUGUGGGAACGUUUUUUGAAG
rnacentral:misc_RNA from 1 species